rnacentral:rRNA from 1 species
CGCGUAGGCGGCUUCUUAAGCGUGCGGUGAAAGCUCGGGGCUCAACUCCGAGUCGGCCGUGCGAACUGGGGAGCUGGAGCACAGUAGAGGCAGAUUGAAUUCCGGGUGUAGCGGUGGAAUGCGUAGAGAUCCGGAAGAACACCGGUGGCGAAGGCGGUCUGCUGGGCUGUGGCUGACGCUGAGGCGCGACAGCGUGGGGAGCAAACA